GCUUUUUAUUGGGGGACAAGGAUGAGAACCUCAGGUUCGACAAAAUCGCCCGGAAGCGAUUUUGAUCAGUGGAGCGUAGCGACGCUGACCCGCAGGGUGAGCCCCAGGGAAGGGGCGAAUAAUCCUUGUCCCCCAACCA
rnacentral:sRNA from 1 species